rnacentral:rRNA from 1 species
GGUUCAUCCCGCCGGAGGCGACCGCUGUGGGAGUCCGAUUAAGCCAUGCGAGUCGAGAGAAUAAGAUUCUCGGCAUACCGCUCAGUAACACGUGGAUAACUGCCCUGUGCUGGGGGAUAACCUCGCGAAAGUGAGAACAAUACCCCAUGGGUCACUAUGCCUGGAACGGUUAGUGGCUGAAAGCUCCGGCGGCACAGGAUGGGUCUGCGGCGUAUCAGGUCGUAGGGGGUGUAACGUACCUCCUAGCCUUCGACGCGUACGGGUUGUGGGAGCAAUUGCCCGGAGAUGGAUUCUGAGACACGAAUCCAGGCCCUACGGGGCGCAGCAGGCGCGAAAACUUGACAAUGCGAGAAAUCGUGAUCAGGGGACUCCAGUUGGCUGGAUCAAAAGUCCAGUCUGAACCGACUUUAAAUCGGUCGGGUAAUAGGGGCGGGAAAGACCGGUGCCAGCCGCCGCGGUAAUACCGGCGCCCCUAGUGGUCGUCACUAUUAUUGGGCCUAAAACGUCCGUAGCCGGUUUGGUAAAUCCGUGGGUAAAUCAGACAGCCCAACUGUCUGAAUUCUGCGGGGACUGCCAGACUUGAGACCGGGAGAGGUGCGGGGUACCUGCGGGGUAGCGGUAAAAUGCGAUCAUCCCGUAGAGACCACCUGUUGCGAAGGCGCCGCACUAGAACGGAUCUGACGGUCAGGGACGAAGCCUAGGGGCACGAACCGGAUUAGAUACCCGGGUAGUCCUAGGUGUAAACGCUGUGGACUUGGUGUCGGGGACCUUCUGAGGGUUUCCGGUGCCGGAGUGAAGAUGUUAAGUCCACUGCCUGGGGAGUACGGUCGC